rnacentral:rRNA from 1 species
UACGAAGGGGGCUAGCGUUGCUCGGAAUCACUGGGCGUAAAGGGUGCGUAGGCGGGUCUUUAAGUCAGGGGUGAAAUCCUGGAGCUCAACUCCAGAACUGCCUUUGAUACUGAAGAUCUUGAGUUCGGGAGAGGUGAGUGGAACUGCGAGUGUAGAGGUGAAAUUCGUAGAUAUUCGCAAGAACACCAGUGGCGAAGGCGGCUCUCUGGAACGCAACUGACGCUGAGACGCGAAAAGCGUGGGAAACAAACAGG